UUCAUCUACAAAUUCUCAAAAGAAGAAAAAAGGAGCCGAGGAAAAUGGAUGUGGCUGAAAUUUAACACCAAAAUCCCAAGGCCAAUUCUGAAAAAGCUGGGACUGGGAUGAACAAAUACACCAUCGUCUGCGCUCUUCUAGCCUCCACAAACUCCAUUCUGUUGGGUUAUGAUAUUGGAGUGAUGAGCGGGGCAGUGCUUUACAUCAAAGAGAACCUCAAGAUCACAUCAACCCAAGUGGAAAUCUUGGUAGGAACCCUAAACAUGUUCUCUUUAUUUGGAUCACUAGCAUCCGGGAAAACAUCUGAUUAUAUAGGUAGGCGUUACACUAUAGUAUUAGUCGCAUGCACAUUUCUAAUAGGUGCACUCCUCAUGAGCCUAGCCACAUCCUACCUAUUCCUCUUGGCCGGACGUGCCGUGGCUGGCGUUGGCGUCGGCUACGCCCUCAUGAUCGCCCCAGUCUACACCGCAGAGCUCUCACCCGCCAUGAGCCGGGGCUUCCUCAUUUCUCUCCCUGAGGUGUUCAUCACAUUUGGCCUGUUAGUUGGUUACAUAGUUAAUUAUGCUUUGUUUGGCCUGCCACCAAACAUAAAUUGGAGAUUAAUGCUAGGGUUAGCCGCGGUGCCAGCUGUCAGUAUAGGGUUGGGGGUCAUAGCCAUGCCUGAGUCCCCUCGUUGGCUUGUGAUAAAAGGCAAAUUAAGUGAAGCAAAACAGGUGCUGAUCAGAACAUCUGCUUCUGAAGAGGAAGCUCAAUUGAGGCUCGAGGAGAUUAGCAAGGCUGCUUUAGCUUUACCCCAUAGCACAAGCCCAUUAACGGCCCAUGAAGAUGGACUUUGGUACAUCCUUCUAAGCCCAUUCGUCGGAUGCUCAUUGUUGCCAUUGGGAUCAACUUCUUCAUGCAAGCUUCCGAAAACGACGCCAUCGUGUACUACUGUCCGGAAGUGUUCAAGGCUGCUGGAAUUCAUAGCAGAAAGCAGCUUUUCGAUGUCAAUGUGAUUAUGGGCCUUGCCAAGACAUCCUUUGUGUUCCUCUCGGCCAGCUACUUGGACCGCUUUGGGAGGCGGCCCCUUUUGCUACUGGGCUGUGCCGGGAUGGUGAUUUGGUUAGCUGGGAUGGGCCUUGGGUCAAAAUUUCUCGAGCAUUCGAGUACCAAGCCAACGUGGGUCAUUGCGUUGUGUAUCAUGGCUGUUUGCGCUGAUGUCUCUUUCUUUUCAAUUGGGCUUGGCCCAAUAACUUGGGUCUACUCAUCGGAUAUCUUCCCGAUGAGAUUACGGGCCCAAGGUUCGAGCCUGGCCAUAUCAAUGAAUCGGUUGGUGAGCGGGGUGGUGUCAAUGACGUUUCUAACCAUUUCUAAUAAGAUAACAUUUGGUGGAAUGUUUUUUGUGCUUGCGGGAAUCAUGGUGGUUGGUACGGUCUUCUUUUACUUCUUUUUGCCAGAGACAAAAGGCAAGACCUUAGAAGAGAUGGGGGCUCUUUUUGAAGAUAGAGAUACAAGCAUUGCCAAUAGGGUAAGGGAACUGAGAGAAAUGUAGU